UACGGGGGGGGCAAGCGUUGUUCGGAAUUACUGGGCGUAAAGGGCUCGUAGGUGGCCAACUAAGUCAGACGUGAAAUCCCUCGGCUCAACCGAGGAACUGCGUCUGAUAACUGGAAGGCUUGAAUCCGGGAGAGGGAUGUGGAAUUCCAGGUGUAGCGGUGAAAUUCGUAGAUAUUCGGAAGAACACCAGUGGCGAAGGCGGCUCACUGGCCCGGUACUGACGCUGAGGUGCGAAAGCGUGAGGAGCAAACGAGGA
rnacentral:rRNA from 1 species